GACAGAGGGUGCGAACGUUGUUCGGAAUUACUGGGCGUAAAGCGCAUGUAGGCGGCAGCGCAAGUCGGGCGUGAAAUCCCACGGCUCAACCGUGGAAGUGCACUCGAAACUGCGCAGCUAGAGUCCUGGAGAGGAAGGUGGAAUGCUUGGUGUAGAGGUGAAAUUCGUAGAUAUCAAGCGGAACACCGGGUGGCGAAGGCGGC
rnacentral:rRNA from 1 species